GAUGAAGAACGCAGCGAAAUGCGAUAAGUAAUGUGAAUUGCAGAAUUCAGUGAAUCAUCGAAUCUUUGAACGCACAUUGCGCCCACUAGUAUUCUGGUGGGCAUGCCUGUUCGAGCGUCAUUUCGACCCCUAAGCCUUAGUUGUUUAGCGUUGGGAGCUUGCAUCCUCGCGGUUAGCCGCGACGCAACUCCUUAAAUUUCGUGGUAGGGCUCGCGUCGCCUUGAAGUGUAGUAAUUAUCUUCUCACUUUUAGAAGGCGUUCGCGCGGCACAGCCAAGUAAAACAUAUAUAUAUUAAGUGGUUGACCUCGGAUCAGGUAGGAGUACCCGCUGAACUUAAGCAUAUCAAUAAGCGGAGGA
rnacentral:misc_RNA from 1 species